UACGUAGGGUGCGAGCGUUAAUCGGAAUUACUGGGCGUAAAGCGCGCGUAGGUGGCUUCGUAAGUCCGUUGUGAAAGUCAAAGGCUCAACCUUUGAAUGCCGAUGGAUACUGCGGAGCUAGAGUACGGAAGAGGCGAGUGGAAUUCCUGGUGUAGCGGUGGAAUGCGCAGAUAUCAGGAGGAACACCAAUAGCGAAGGCAGCUCGCUGGGACGUUACUGACACUAAGGCGCGAAAGCGUGGGGAGCGAACAGG
rnacentral:rRNA from 1 species